rnacentral:miRNA from 1 species
AUCUUGGAAGCUAAGCAGGGUUGGGCCUGGUUACUACUUGGAUAGGAGAAACUAGAACACUGAUCAGCUCUGGCAUAUGCACCAGGGGUGGAACCUGAGACUUCAAAGCCUCAAGCAUGAAUCUUUUGCAUAACAAUUAUGUUGUCUUCC